rnacentral:lncRNA from 1 species
UCCCUUCCAUCAAGGGAGAAGACUCGUAGCCAGCUCCUGUUUCCAUUUUAAAAGGGGUCUUUGCUUCCUUUUGAUCACGGUGCCAAAAACUUCCCCCUCUCUCUCUCAAUUUCUUUUCUCCCUUCACCUCCCGGGGCCUUCCAUUGGCCCGGGGCCUUAGGCGACCGCCUCGAUCGCCUAAGGCUCGGGCCGGCUCUGU